GUCUAAUUGAAUUACAAAGGAAAAAUUAAAUUAUUUGACUAAUAUUUGAAUGGUAUGAGGUGGAAUAGUAAUAAAAGUGGCUUUUAAUUUGGAAAUCAGUGAUGAUCGGUUGUUUGUUGGUUUAAUUUGAUGAUGACAGGCCGUGCCAGUUUUCCUUUCAGAGAUCGCACCUUCAAGAAUACGUGGAGCAUUGAAUAUACUGUUCCAGCUGAAUAUUACCCUUGGCAUCCUCUUUGCCAACCUAGUCAACUAUGCCACCAACAAAAUAAAAGGUGGGUGGGGAUGGAGGCUAUCUCUGGGUUUGGGUGGUUUGCCAGCACUGCUCCUUACGUUGGGAGCUUUCUUGGUGGUGGACACCCCUAACAGUCUCAUCGAGCGUGGUCACUUGGAAGAAGGAAAAGUUGUGUUGAGAAAGAUUCGUGGCAUUCACAACAUUGAACCUGAGUUCUUGGACCUUGUCAACGCAAGUCGUGUGGCUAAAGAGGUCAAACACCCUUUCAGAAAUAUCCUCAAGCGCAGCAACAGACCCCAGCUACUCAUUUCCAUUGCCCUGCAGGUUUUUCAGCAAUUCACGGGCAUCAACGCCAUAAUGUUUUAUGCCCCGGUUCUUUUCAACACAUUGGGAUUCAAGAACGACGCUUCUCU